UACGGAGGGUGCAAGCGUUGUCCAGAAUCACUGGGCGUAAAGGGCGCGUAGGCGGCUCAUGAAGGCUGUGGUGAAAGUCCGGGGCUCAACCUCGGAUCGGCCGUGGCGACUCGUGGGCUGGAGCACUGUAGAGGCGGGUGGAAUUCCGGGUGUAGCGGUGGAAUGCGUAGAGAUCCGGAAGAACACCAGUGGCGAAGGCGGCCCGCUGGGCAGUGGCUGACGCUGAGGCGCGACAGCGUGGGGAGCAAACAGG
rnacentral:rRNA from 1 species